rnacentral:rRNA from 1 species
GUGCUGUGAGCUCGAUGAGUAGGGCGGGACACGUGGUAUCCUGUCUGAAUAUGGGGGGACCAUCCUCCAAGGCUAAAUACUCCUGACUGACCGAUAGUGAACCAGUACCGUGAGGGAAAGGCGAAAAGAACCCCGGCGAGGGGAGUGAAAAAGAACCUGAAACCGUGUACGUACAAGCAGUGGGAGCACAGGUUUACCUGUGUGACUGCGUACCUUUUGUAUAAUGGGUCAGCGACUUAUAUUCUGUAGCAAGGUUAACCGAAUAGGGGAGCCGGAGGGAAACCGAGUCUUAAUUGGGCGUUAAGUUGCAGGGUAUAGACCCGAAACCCGGUGAUCUAGCCAUGGGCAGGUUGAAGGUUGGGUAACACUAACUGGAGGACCGAACCGACUAAUGUUGAAAAAUUAGCGGAUGACCUGUGGCUGGGGGUGAAAGGCCAAUCAAACCGGGAGAUAGCUGGUUCUCCCCGAAAGCUAUUUAGGUAGCGCCUCGUGAAUUCAUCUCCGGGGGUAGAGCACUGUUUCGGCUAGGGGGCCAUCCCGGCUUACCAACCCGAUGCAAACUGCGAAUACCGGAGAAUGUUAUCACGGGAGACACACGGCGGGUGCUAACGUCCGUCGUGAAGAGGGAAACAACCCAGACCGCCAGCUAAGGUCCCAAAGUCAUGGUUAAGUGGGAAACGAUGUGGGAAGGCCCAGACAGCCAGGAUGUUGGCUUAGAAGCAGCCAUCAUUUAAAGAAAGCGUAAUAGCUCACUGGUCGAGUCGGCCUGCGCGGAAGAUGUAACGGGGCUAAACCAUGCACCGAAGCUGCGGCAGCGACGCUUAUGCGU